rnacentral:rRNA from 1 species
GCUCAGAUUGAACGCUGGCGGCAUGCUUUACACAUGCAAGUCGAACGGCAGCACGAAAGAGCUUGCUCUUUUGGUGGCGAGUGGCGAACGGGUGAGUAAUACAUUGGAACGUACCGAGUAAUGGGGGAUAACUGUCCGAAAGGAUGGCUAAUACCGCAUACGCUCUGAGGAGGAAAGCGGGGGACCUUCGGGCCUCGCGUUAUUCGAGCGGCCAAUGUCUGAUUAGCUAGUUGGUGGGGUAAAGGCCUACCAAGGCGACGAUCAGUAGUGGGUCUGAGAGGAUGAUCCGCCACACUGGGACUGAGACACGGCCCAGACUCCUACGGGAGGCANCAGUGGGGAAUUUUGGACAAUGGGCGAAAGCCUGAUCCAGNCAUGCCGCGUGUCUGAAGAAGGCCUUCGGGUUGUAAAGGACUUUUGUCAGG